CGACUGCAUCACCACUAAAAAUAGAACAGUGAGUUCAGAGAGGAUGUAAAAUGCAGUAUUUCUAUCAGAAAAAUGCUAAUAGUUCAAGCUGCAAUAGGAAACUGAAAAGGCCAUAAGGACUACAUGAACUGUCAAAAUGUGUGCAGCACAGGCUGUGAAUAAAGAUUGUGAUUAAAGCUAAUUGACAGGCAAUUUUCAACAGACAGAGGAAUCAAGGGAUCCAGUCUCUGAUAGCAGUAUAGCUUUUCCUUUUGACUGAAUUCAUCCUUUACAAGCUAUUUUUUUUUAAGUUGUCUUAGUUUACUUCUCCUCCUCCCAGUGAAGAUUUCACUUCAAACAUCAGCUGGGAUAAAUUUCAGUCAUGGUCUUCAGAACUGUUAUACCCAGAGGCCGAUUCUCUUAGAGCUUUUUCCACCUUUUCACCUGGUUGUCAGCUUGCUUCCAUGGGUCUGCCUUCAAAGACAGCCAAAUCAGGUUCUUCUGUCCAUCAAAGUCCAUCUUGGGAGGUGGGAGGGAAUAGCAGCUGUAUAGUUUGGAUGCAUCAGGCAAGGCGAGGAUGCAGCUGUGCUUCUCUGCAGAAGGCCGUGAUGGUGCAGUGCAAUCACCUGGCAGCAGCUGCACAUGAAACAAAUCCCACAGCUGUCAGCAUGUCCUGGCCACUUCAAGGGAAAUGGCACCAACUUUGUGCCAGCCUCGCUACAAAGUUUAACAGACUCACCCGAAGGAUAGCAGCACCAUCUCGUGGGUACAUUUAA
rnacentral:lncRNA from 1 species